rnacentral:rRNA from 1 species
CCAGACUCCUACGGGAGGCAGCAGUGGGGAAUAUUGCACAAUGGGGGGAACCCUGAUGCAGCAAUGCCGCGUGAGUGAAGAAGCACUCCGGUGCGUAAAGCCCUGUCAGCAGGGAAGAAAAUGACAGUACCUGGACAAGAAGCACCGGCUAAAUACGUGCCAGCAGCCGCGGUAAUACGUAUGGUGCGAGCGUUAUCCGGAUUUACUGGGCGUAAAGGGAGCGCAGGCGGCGCGCCAAGUCUGAUGUGAAACCCCGGGGCUCAACCCCGGGCAUGCAUUGGAAACUGGCGGGCUGGAGUGCCGGAGAGGUAAGCGGAAUUCCUAGUGUAGCGGUGAAAUGCGUAGAUAUUAGGAGGAACACCAGUGGCGAAGGCGGCUUACUGGACGGCAACUGACGCUGAGGCUCGAAAGCGUGGGGAGCAAACAGGAUUAGAUACCCUAGUAA